GCAAACUUCCGCCAGAGGUCGUUCGCACACACACAGAGGACUAUGGGUAGUAUGGAAAUUUCGUUAUGUAUUCUGUAAAAAUCUACCAAAAAUGUGAUACUAGAACAGUAAAGAAUUGUAUUUAUUCAUUUUAAUUUUUUAGACUUACAUAAUCCUUUAGGAAAUGAUAGAUCGAAAUAAACUUACAGUAAGAGAACAAUGGAGUUUAUUAAAAUCAUUGGGUAGGAUAAAAACAUGUUAUCGACAACAAAGUAAUUGUUAUCGGUUUUUCAGAAUUUAUGUUAUCGGAAAUAAGGUUACCAUCGUGUUUUAAAAUACGCUAAAUUGGUGUUUUAGUGAUAGAAAAGUCGCAAAACUCGUGUUGUUAAGUGUCGGGAACGAAGUAAUAGAGAUUUAUAAUCACAGUAUCACUGUCAUGAUCGUGUGCAGGAUUGGACAAAACAAGAUGGCAGACGGCAUUUCCAAACAAAGAUCCAGUCAGGAGCGGACUUCCUUAAGCUUAAAAGUUGCAAGUGAAUGAAGUGUGUUCUAUUUAUGGUCUCCUACUAAAACCAUGGUUUUGACAAACCUAAAAGAGCACGUGGAGCAAGGAACUAUCAGUAAGCCGGAAGAGCCAGCUCGAAAAUCUUUUAAGUGUUUGAGAAUUUUACCGCGCACAUGAAUCUAAAGUUCUGCCACACGUUAGAAGGAGCCUUGUUCUCGAAGAUCAACAUGUUGAAAAGUCUUCAUUUUGCAGAAGCAAAUACAUUUAUAUUGUAUAUACACAUGUAGACCAUGUUCGAUUCCCAACCACUUAACAUUUGUGAUAUCUGCAUGGAAUUAUUAAAACUGAGCAUGGGUUGACGUAUAAUAAUCUCUUCAGGCAUGAUGGUUUACAUUUCACAAAGCUGUUCAAUGACAAUAAAGACUAUAAGAUGU